rnacentral:rRNA from 1 species
GACGAACGCUGGCGGCGUGCUUAACACAUGCAAGUCGAACGGAAAGGCCCUGCUUUUUUGGGGUGCUCGAGUGGCGAACGGGUGAGUAACACGUGAGUAACCUGCCCUUGACUUUGGGAUAACUUCAGGAAACUGGGGCUACUACCGUAUAGGAGCCCCUGCUGCAUGGUGGGGGUUGGAAAUUUUCGGCGGUUGGGGAUGGACUCGCGGCUUAUCAGCUUGCUGGUGGGGUAGGGGCUUACCAAGGCUUGGACGGGUAGCCGGCCUGAGAGGGUGACCGGCGACAUUGGGACUGAGAUACGGACCAGACUCGUACGGGAGGCAGCAGUGGGGAAUAUUGCCCAAUGGGCGGAAGCCUGAUGCAGAAACGCCGCGUGCGGGAUGACGGCCUUCGGGUUGUAAACAGCUUUAGCCUGUGACGAAGCGUGAGUGACGGUAAUGGGUAAAGAAGCACCGGCUAACUACGUG